UGGUUUAAAAUGUGUGUGUUAAUUGUUGAUAGUACAAAAACUGUUUAUGACUUCGUACGAAAACAUUUGGAACUAAAGAUAGCAGCUAAGAUGAGACUUAAAUUGUUCUUUUUUCUGUUGUUGAUUAUUCUAGCAAUGGUUUUAUUUAUGACGAAAGUCAGUGCCAAACGAUGGGCUGAUGGAGUAGAUGGAGUGUGUGCCUAAUCACUUUUUAUAGUGUUAAAUUAUACCAAUAAAGAUGAUGAAGCAAGCUUAGCGAUAGUUGAUUCAAACAAGUAAAUUCAUUAUUUUUGAGCUACCAGCUGAUCUCAAAGCGUAGAGCUCUGAGAUACACUACACACAAUGCAGGCAGCCGAAACUGAGGUUUGCACAUACCUAUCUAUCAAAUCCCAAGCGUAUCAAGAGUUAUAUUGAUGAGGUGUACCGACUUUUAGAGGAAAAGCCAGGGGUUGAAGAAAUAUUAAUCAUGAAUCGUUACGGUGUGCCGAUCAAAACGUCAAUGGAACGCCAAGACGCACUUCAACAUGCCUGUCUUUAUGAGAAUUCGCGUGAAAAGUGUCAGGCAUUUCUAUCAAAAAUGGAGCCAACACAGCUCCUGACCAUGUUGCGAGUCCGUACCAGAUUCCACGAGGUCCUGCUAACACCUGAUGG